rnacentral:rRNA from 1 species
AGGGAAUAGAUACCCUGGUAGUCCACGCCCUAAACGAUGUCAACUGGUUGUUGGACGGCUUGCUGUUCAGUAAACGAAAGCUAAACGCGCGAAGUUGACCGCCUGGGGAGUACGGCCGCAAGGUUGAAACUCAAAGGAAUUGACGGGGACCCGGCACAAGCGGUGGAUGAUGUGGUUUAAUUCGAUGCAACGCGAAAAACCUUAACCCACCCUUGGUCAUGUCUGGAAUUCCGAAGAGAUUGGUAAGUGCUCGAAGAGAGCAGAACACAGGUGCUGCAUGGCCGUCGUCAGCUCGUGUCGUGAGAUGUUGGGUUAAGUCCCGCAACGAGCGCAACCCUUACUCAUUAGUUGCUACGCAAGGGCACUCUAAUGAGACUGCCGGUGAC